CCUUGAUGAUAAUGAUGGUGAUGAUGAUGGUGAUGAUGAUGAUCAUCAUCAGCAGCAGCAUCAACCUUAUCUUCAUCAUCAUUGUCGUCAUCAUCAUCACCAUCAUUAUCA
rnacentral:pre_miRNA from 1 species